rnacentral:tRNA from 1 species
GCGGUUGUAGUCUAAUCUGGUUAGGACCUAGGCCUUCCAAGCCUAUGAUCCGGGUUCAAAUCCCGGCGACCGCA